AGAGUUUGAUCCUGGCUCAGGACGAACGCUGGCGGCGUGCUUAACACAUGCAAGUCGAACGAGAAGAGAAGGAAGCUUGCUUCUUUCAAAUCUAGUGGCAAACGGGUGAGUAACACGUAAACAACCUGCCUUCAGGAUGGGGACAACAGACGGAAACGACUGCUAAUACCGAAUACGUUCCUUAGGUCGCAUGAUCUUGGGAAGAAAGGGUGGCCUCUACCUGUAAGCUAUCGCCUGAAGAGGGGUUUGCGUCUGAUUAGGUAGUUGGUGAGGUAACGGCCCACCAAGCCGACGAUCAGUAGCCGGUCUGAGAGGAUGAACGGCCACACUGGAACUGAGACACGGUCCAGACUCCUACGGGAGGCAGCAGUGGGGAAUCUUCCGCAAUGGGCGAAAGCCUGACGGAGCAACGCCGCGUGAGUGAUGACGGCCUUCGGGUUGUAAAGCUCUGUGAUCGGGGACGAACGGUCGGCAGACGAAUAAUCUGCUGAAUUGACGGUACCCGAAUAGCAAGCCACGGCUAACUACGUGCCAGCAGCCGCGGUAAUACGUAGGUGGCAAGCGUUGUCCGGAAUUAUUGGGCGUAAAGCGCGCGCAGGCGGCUUCUUAAGUCCAUCUUAAAAGUGCGGGGCUUAACCCCGUGAUGGGAUGGAAACUGAGAGGCUGGAGUAUCGGAGAGGAAAGUGGAAUUCCUAGUGUAGCGGUGAAAUGCGUAGAGAUUAGGAAGAACACCGGUGGCGAAGGCGACUUUCUGGACGACAACUGACGCUGAGGCGCGAAAGCGUGGGGAGCAAACAGGAUUAGAUACCCUGGUAGUCCACGCCGUAAACGAUG
rnacentral:rRNA from 1 species